rnacentral:rRNA from 1 species
UACGAAGGGGACUAGCGUUGUUCGGAAUUACUGGGCGUAAAGCGCACGUAGGCGGCUUUGUUAGUCAGGGGUGAAAUCCCGGGGCUCAACCUCGGAACUGCCUUUGAUACUGCAAAUCUCGAGUCCGAUAGAGGUGGGUGGAAUUCCUAGUGUAGAGGUGAAAUUCGUAGAUAUUAGGAAGAACACCGGUGGCGAAGGCGGCCCACUGGAUCGGUACUGACGCUGAGGUGCGAAAGCGUGGGGAGCAAACAGG